rnacentral:rRNA from 1 species
UACAGAGGUCUCGAGCGUUAGGCGGAAUCACUGGGCUUAAAGCGUGUGUAGGUGGAUCGUUAAGUGCUUUGUGAAAUCCCAUGGCUCACCCAUGGAACUGCUUGGCAUACUGCGAGCCUUGAGCCACUUAGGGGCAACCGGAACAAACGGUGGAGCGGUGAAAUGCGUAGAUAUCGUUUGGAACGCCAAUGGUGAAAACAGGUUGCUGGGAGUGCGCUGACGCUGAGACACGAAAGCCAGGGGAGCGAACGGG